rnacentral:rRNA from 1 species
UGCCAGCAGCCGCGGUAAUACGGAGGGUGCAAGCGUUAAUCGGAAUUACUGGGCGUAAAGCGCACGUAGGCGGAUCAGAAAGUUAGGGGUGAAAUCCCGGGGCUCAACCCCGGAACUGCCUCUAAAACUCCUGGUCUUGAGUUCGAGAGAGGUGAGUGGAAUUCCGAGUGUAGAGAUGAAAUUUGUAGAUAUUCGGAGGAACACCAGUGGCGAAGGCGGCUCACUGGCUCGAUACUGACGCUGAGGUGCGAAAGUGUGGGGAGCAAACAGGAUUAGAUA